CGGGGGGUGCUUACCUGCAGUCGAACGGGAUCCAUCAGGCUUUGCUUGGUGGUGAGAGUGGCGAACGGGUGAGUAAUGCGUGACCGACCUGCCCCAUACACCGGAAUAGCUCCUGGAAACGGGUGGUAAUGCCGGAUGCUCCGACUCCUCGCAUGGGGUGUCGGGAAAGAUUUCAUCGGUAUGGGAUGGGGUCGCGUCCUAUCAGGUAGUCGGCGGGGUAACGGCCCACCGAGCCUACGACGGGUAGCCGGCCUGAGAGGGCGACCGGCCACAUUGGGACUGAGAUACGGCCCAGACUCCUACGGGAGGCAGCAGUGGGGAAUAUUGCACAAUGGGCGCAAGCCUGAUGCAGCGACGCCGCGUGCGGGAUGACGGCCUUCGGGUUGUAAACCGCUUUUGAUCGGGAGCAAGCCUUCGGGUGAGUGUACCUUUCGAAUAAGCACCGGCUAACUACGUGCCAGCAGCCGCGGUAAUACGUAGGGUGCAAGCGUUAUCCGGAAUUAUUGGGCGUAAAGGGCUCGUAGGCGGUUCGUCGCGUCCGGUGUGAAAGUCCAUCGCUUAACGGUGGAUCUGCGCCGGGUACGGGCGGGCUGGAGUGCG
rnacentral:rRNA from 1 species